AACAGGAUUAGAUACCCUGGUAGUCCACGCCGUAAACGAUGUCGACUUGGAGGUUGUGCCCUUGAGGCGUGGCUUCCGGAGCUAACGCGUUAAGUCGACCGCCUGGGGAGUACGGCCGCAAGGUUAAAACUCAAAUGAAUUGACGGGGGCCCGCACAAGCGGUGGAGCAUGUGGUUUAAUUCGAUGCAACGCGAAGAACCUUACCUGGUCUUGACAUCCACGGAAGUUUUCAGAGAUGAGAAUGUGCCUUCGGGAACCGUGAGACAGGUGCUGCAUGGCUGUCGUCAGCUCGUGUUGUGAAAUGUUGGGUUAAGUCCCGCAACGAGCGCAACCCUUAUCCUUUGUUGCCAGCGGUCCGGCCGGGAACUCAAAGGAGACUGCCAGUGAUAAACUGGAGGAAGGUGGGGAUGACGUCAAGUCAUCAUGGCCCUUACGACCAGGGCUACACACGUGCUACAAUGGCGCAUACAAAGAGAAGCGACCUCGCGAGAGCAAGCGGACCUCAUAAAGUGCGUCGUAGUCCGGAUUGGAGUCUGCAACUCGACUCCAUGAAGUCGGAAUCGCUAGUAAUCGUGGAUCAGAAUGCCACGGUGAAUACGUUCCCGGGCCUUGUACACACCGCCCGUCACACCAUGGGAGUGGUUGCAAAAGAAGUAGGUAGCUUAACCUUCGGGAGGGCGCUUACCACUUUGUGAUUCAUGACUGGGGUGAAGUCGUAACAAGGUAACC
rnacentral:rRNA from 1 species